CCGCUCCCUGGGCUCCGCCCCCCGUGCCUACUGAGCUGAAACACAGUUGGUUCGUGCACACUGGCUCAGUUCAGCAGGAACAGGGGUCAAGCCCCCUCGGAGUCUG
ensembl:miRNA microRNA 24-2